rnacentral:lncRNA from 1 species
AGUCCUCAUCCACACUGCCCGCCGGCACCCAGGCUCAAGGUGCUGGGGAAUGUGUGGCCCUUCCUUCCCUCUGCCCCCGCAGGUGUGGCCACCAGUGCUGCACAGGCCUCUCAGCCAUCCCGCUGUUGUCCUUUUGCUUUUAGUUUUGGAAUCUGGUCCUUGGGGUUGCUGGGUUUUGUUUUGCUUUUGGGAUGUCAAGCAAGCAUUGGCUAUGAUCUCCAGAGUUCAGAUGGUCCCCUAAGAUGGAUGCAAUCCCUAAAAAUAAGCAUAAAAUAUACACAUAAAAUAGUAAAACGGGAGAGACAGUACUGACAGUGGAUGAAGCCAGGCUGACGUGACUGAGAGGCAAGUUUCAACAUCAGGAAAAAAAACAAAGACCACACUUACUCCUCAGGAGAUACAUGGGUGAUCUUUCAAGAGACCAUCAGAAAGAGGCUGCUUGGGUCCCGUCCGAGGAGAGACAGAAGACUGAGCCGUGGUGUACUCUAUUAUCUGACGCAACAGCCUUUUCUGCAGGAUAUUAAAGGACUUUAUAAAUAUUAAUUAUCUCAUUCAUCCUCAUCACUUUGUGAGAGCCGAAGACAUUAUAGAUGGCCAGUCACCCAUUUCACUAAGUAUCUAAAGCCACCUUCCACACGUAAUCAUUAACAUUUCAAAAUACUUUCACCUCUUUAUUAUUCAGAGAUGUUGAGUUUAUGAAGGACUCGGUCCUUUUUGGUUCUUUCUGCCCCGCAUUAAUAAACACCUUUGAAUUACUAAA